UACGUAGGGUGCGAGCGUUAAUCGGAAUUACUGGGCGUAAAGCGUGCGCAGGCGGUUAUGUAAGACAGUUGUGAAAUCCCCGGGCUCAACCUGGGAAUUGCAUCUGUGUCUGCAUAGCUAGAGUACGGUAGAGGGGGAUGGAAUUCCGCGUGUAGCAGUGAAAUGCGUAGAUAUGCGGAGGAACACCGAUGGCGAAGGCAAUCCCCUGGACCUGUACUGACGCUCAUGCACGAAAGCGUGGGGAGCAAACAGG
rnacentral:rRNA from 1 species